GCAUCGAUGGUUUAGUGGUAGAAUUCUUGCCUUCCACGUGAAAGACCUGGGUUCGAUUCCAGGCCAGUGCA
rnacentral:tRNA from 1 species